rnacentral:snoRNA from 1 species
UGUGCAGAGAAGCACCAGGUGCUCCAAGAUUUAGUGAUUCAAAAAAGAAGAAGAAAGUGUAUGCAGUAUGCUACACGAGUGGCAAGUCUUUCAAAUCACCAUGGGUCUCUGGCCUGAUGAGUAGAGUUUAACAGUAGUACUUGCUACAAGU